UACGGAGGGUGCAAGCGUUGUCCGGAUUUAUUGGGUUUAAAGGGUGCGUAGGCAGUCUGUUAAGUCAGGGGUGAAAGACGGUAGCUCAACUAUCGCAGUGCCCUUGAUACUGAUGGGCUUGAAUACACUAGAGGUAGGCGGAAUGUGACAAGUAGCGGUGAAAUGCAUAGAUAUGUCACAGAACACCGAUUGCGAAGGCAGCUUACUAUGGUGUUAUUGACGCUGAGGCACGAAAGCGUGGGGAUCAAACAGG
rnacentral:rRNA from 1 species